AGUGAACGCUGGCGGUAGGCCUAACACAUGCAAGUCGAACGGCAGCACAGGAGAGCUUGCUCUCUGGGUGGCGAGUGGCGGACGGGUGAGGAAUACAUCGGAAUCUACUAUUUCGUGGGGGAUAACGUAGGGAAACUUACGCUAAUACCGCAUACGACCUACGGGUGAAAGCAGGGGACCCUCGGGCCUUGCGCGAUUGAAUGAGCCGAUGUCGGAUUAGCUAGUUGGCGGGGUAAAGGCCCACCAAGGCGACGAUCCGUAGCUGGUCUGAGAGGAUGAUCAGCAACACUGGAACGGAGACACGGUCCAGACUCCUACGGGAGGCAGCAGAGGGGAAUAUUGGACAAUGGGCGCAAGCCUGAUCCAGCCAUACCGCGUGGGUGAAGAAGGCCUUCGGGUUGUAAAGCCCUUUUGUUGAGAAAGAAAUCCAGCUGGCUAAUACCCGGUUGGGAUGACGGUACCCAAAGAAUAAGCACCGGCUAACUUCGUGCCAGCAGCCGCAGUAA
rnacentral:rRNA from 1 species